rnacentral:rRNA from 1 species
UACGUAGGGUGCAAGCGUUGUCCGGAAUUAUUGGGCGUAAAGAGCUCGUAGGCGGCCUGUCGCGUCGGCUGUGAAAACCCGGGGCUCAACCCCGGGCCUGCAGUCGAUACGGGCAGGCUAGAGUCCGGCAGGGGAGACUGGAAUUCCUGGUGUAGCGGUGAAAUGCGCAGAUAUCAGGAGGAACACCGGUGGCGAAGGCGGGUCUCUGGGCCAAUACUGACGCUGAGGAGCGAAAGCGUGGGGAGCGAACAGG